AGAUUGAACGCUGGCGGCAGGCCUAACACAUGCAAGUCGAGCGGUAGAGAGGUGCUUGCAUCUCUUGAGAGCGGCGGACGGGUGAGUAAUGCCUAGGAAUCUGCCUAGUGGUGGGGGAUAACGUUCGGAAACGGCGCUAAUACCGCAUACGUCCUACGGGAGAAAGCGGGGGACCUUCGGGCCUCGCGCCAUUAGAUGAGCCUAGGUCGGAUUAGCUAGUUGGUGAGGUAAUGGCUCACCAAGGCGACGAUCCGUAACUGGUCUGAGAGGAUGAUCAGUCACACUGGAACUGAGACACGGUCCAGACUCCGUAGGGAGCAGCAGGUAGGGAAUAGUUAGGACAAGUGGGACGAAAGCCGUGAGUCCAGCCAUCGCCGCGUUGUGGUGAAGAAGGUC
rnacentral:rRNA from 1 species